AUACUUUUCUCGGCCUUUUGGCUAAAAUCAAGUGUAGUAUCUGUUUUUAUCAGUUUAAUAUCUGAUAUGUGGACUAAUGGUUCACACGAUAUUAAAUUAAUUUUUUUUAAAAGGGUGAGUCCACCACAAUAGCGAGCUAUUAUUAGGGCUCACAUGUGUCAUUCUUGUCUUGCACUACCGCAAGGUUUGGUGCACCCUAC